GGAGAGAUGGCCCAGUUGGUAAAGCAAUUGCUUUGCAAGCAGGAGAACCUGAGAUAGAUCCUCAGUAUUUACA
rnacentral:tRNA from 1 species